GAUGAACGCUAGCGGGAGGCCUAACACAUGCAAGCCGAGCGGUAUUUGUUCUUCGGAACAGAGAGAGCGGCGCACGGGUGCGGAACACGUGUGCAACCUGCCUUUAUCUUGGGGAUAGCCUUUCGAAAGGAAGAUUAAUACCCCCUAAUAUAUUGAGUGGCAUCCCUUGAUAUUUAAAACUCCGGUGGCUAGAGAUGGGCACGCGCAAGAUUAGAUAGUUGGUGAGGUAACGGCUCACCAAGUCAAUGAUCUUUAGGGGGCCUGAGAGGGUGAUCCCCCACACUGGUACUGAGACACGGACCAGACUCCUACGGGAGGCAGCAGUGAGGAAUAUUGGACAAUGGGUUAGCGCCUGAUCCAGCCAUCCCGCGUGAAGGACGACGGCCCUAUGGGUGGUAAACUUCUUUUGGAUAGGGAUAAACCUACUCUCGUGAGAGUAGCUGAAGGUACUAUACGAAUAAGCACCGGCUAACUCCGUG
rnacentral:rRNA from 1 species